UCUUAUGGACAAACAAUGAAAGUGGUUUCUUGAGAUGGAGUCUACCCCUGGUGGAGAUGUUGUGAA
rnacentral:pre_miRNA from 1 species